rfam:Bacillus sp. FJAT-27231 Scaffold1, whole genome shotgun sequence.
AAUAAUUGAACAUUUAUACCGUAGACAGCAGGUGCUGAAAAGCUUAAUUUCCCGCCGAGGUAAUACGAAUAUAUAGAGUGUGGCUCUGUGCUGUACUUUUCGUAACCUCCAUGUCUACUGACGUGGAGGUUUUUUACUUUCAUC